CGCUUAUCGAGAGCGGCUGAGGGACUGGCCCUUUGAAGCCCGGCAACCUGUGAAAGCAAGGUGCUAAUUCCAGCAAAAUGGAAAUUUCAUUUUGGGAGAUAAGGU
rnacentral:ncRNA from 2 species